rnacentral:rRNA from 1 species
CCUACGGGUGGCUGCAGUGAGGAAUAUUGGUCAAUGGGCGCGAGCCUGAACCAGCCAAGUAGCGUGAAGGAUGACUGCCCUACGGGUUGUAAACUUCUUUUAUAACGGCGUAAAGUGAGGCACGUGAGCAUUUUUGUAUGUACUUUAUGAAUAAGGAUAGGCUAACUCCGUGCCAGCAGCCGCGGUACUACGGAGGAUCCGAGCGUUAUCCGGCUUUAUUGGUUUUAAAGGGAGCGUAGAUGGGUUGUUAAGUCAGUUGUGAAAGUUUGCGGCUCAACCGUAAAAUUGCAAUUGAUACUGGCAGUCGUGAGUACAGUUGAGGUAGGCGGAAUUCGUGGUGUAGCGGUGAAAUGCUUAGAUAUCACGAAGAACACCGAUUGCGAAGGCAGCUUACUAAACUGCCACUGACAUUGAUGCUCGAAAGUGUGGGUAUCAAACAGGAUUAGAUACCCUAGUAGUC